rnacentral:rRNA from 1 species
AAAGGAAUUGACGGGGACCCGCACAAGUAGCGGAGCAUGUGGUUUAAUUCGAAGCAACGCGAAGAACCUUACCUACACUUGACAUCCCUUGCAUUACUCUUAAUCGAGGAAAUCCCUUCGGGGACAAGGUGACAGGUGGUGCAUGGUUGUCGUCAGCUCGUGUCGUGAGAUGUUGGGUUAAGUCCCGCAACGAGCGCAACCCUUGUCGUUAGUUACUACCAUUAAGUUGAGGACUCUAGCGAGACUGCCUGGGUUAACCAGGAGGAAGGUGGGGAUGACGUCAAAUCAUCAUGCCCCUUAUGUGUAGGGCUACACACGUGCUACAAUGGCUGGUACAGAGAGAUGCAAUACCGCGAGGUGGAGCCAAACUUAAAAACCAGUCUCAGUUCGGAUUGUAGGCUGAAACUCGCCUACAUGAAGCUGGAGUUACUAGUAAUCGCGAAUCAGAAUGUCGCGGUGAAUACGUUCCCGGGUCUUGUACACACCGCCCGU